GGCUUUAUAGUUUGUGGGGUCGUUUGCGUCUCAUGGCGUGUGGAUACACCCGAGGACUGUAUUUCUAACGCACCGACACGUAUAAGAAGACACAUUGAUGAGCGGAUAAUUAUCCGAAUGUUAAAAGACGAACGACGAUGAAAUUCCGCGACCCAAUGACGCCUCCAGCACUCAAAAACAUGAUUUCAAGUGAUCUCUGAUGAACGUCCAUCAGCUGAUCGUGUUUUUCGUUCCAGAGUGACUCAUGUGGAAUAUUCGGACGAGCUCCCUGGGGAUGAUUGUCAACAUGAGAGAAGACGUUGGCUCUAGACAUUCGCUGAGUGGAGGAGAAUGUGAAAAGCGGGUGACACGAGAUUUAUCUUAUGAUCCUGCGGGGACGAAUGCCGAGGGAAUAACUGACGCAUGAAUUCUUCAUUUUUGGGAUUCACAUUCAAAUUGACAGCUCAAUUCCAUUCUAUUGGAGUACCAAUAAAUAAUAGCUUCAAUACUCAUUAAAAAAAAAUACUAGUGAAUAAAUAAAAUAAUGAGUCGCUGAAUAAAAAACAAAUUUAGAAAUUUUCCAUUUUAUCCAGAUGAAAUCUGUCUUCAUUUACCUUCCGAUUUGCGGGUCGUAGUCUUUCCGAUCAAAUUCAUUAUUGUUAUUGACAGUCCUAGUGGAUAAAUAAUGCUAAUUAAUUGUUAUGGUAAUUCGUAUGGAAAUUUUCUUGUUGAAUAGAUCGAGGUCUGGGUUUCAAUUGAACUGAUGCCCUCUGGACCUUUUCAACGUUUCUGACGAUUUAUGUUGUAUCGAUAUUCAUGAAGGAAUCUUUUGUUACGGAUGAACUUAAUAAAUUUAGUGUGAUAAAAUUUAUCACACGCUGCGGGUACGAUAUUCAAUGGAACUUUCUUAUCCUCCAUGCGUUUUCGUUUUUUUUUUAUUUCUCUUCUUUUUUGCUCAUUAUGAUUUACCGCCGCAUUCCGAUAAAAUAAUUCAUCAUUUCUAGUCAAAUGUAUUUCAUGAAUGAAUGAG